rnacentral:rRNA from 1 species
AUGAACGCUGGCGGCGUGCCUCAUACAUGCAAGUCGAGCGAACAGACGAGGAGCUUGCUCCUCUGACGUUAGCGGCGGACGGGUGAGUAACCCGUGGAUAACCUACCUAUAAGACUGGGAUAACUUCGGGAAACCGGAGCUAAUACCGGAUAAUAUAUUGAACCGCCUGGUUCAAUAGUGAAAGACGGUUUUGCUGUCACUUAUAGAUGGAUCCGCGCCGCAUUAGCUAGUUGGUAAGGUAACGGCUUACCAAGGCAACGAUGCGUAGCCGACCUGAGAGGGUGAUCGGCCACACUGGAACUGAGACACGGUCCAGACUCCUACGGGAGGCAGCAGUAGGGAAUCUUCCGCAAUGGGCGAAAGCCUGACGGAGCAACGCCGCGUGAGUGAUGAAGGUCUUCGGAUCGUAAAACUCUGUUAUUAGGGAAGAACAAAUGUGUAAGUAACUAUGCACGUCUGGACGGUACCUAAUCAGAAAGCCACGGCUAACUACGU